rnacentral:lncRNA from 1 species
UUUGUGGAUGUGCGAUUGAUCCAAAGGGCCGUUGGGCUUGAUCUAAGGAUGAACGUUCUUCAAGGGCCGUGGACUUGAUCUUGAAGGUGGAUUUGAGCGGAUCUUCAAAUGGGCUUUUGGGCUUGAUCUUUGAAGAACAGUGAUGAACGGAUCUCCAAAGGCUUUUGGGCUUGAUCUUGAAGAACGGUUGGACGUGUGGAUUUAUUGAUGUUGUUGAUCCAAGGGGCCGUCGGGGCUUGAUCUUAGAAGAACG